CACAUCCGCGCGCCCCGGGGACCGCCCCCGCACCGGCAGACCCGCGCCCAGGGCGAGGCGUGCUUCCGCCGGAGCUCUGAUAGGCCGCCUCCCUACGCGUCACCGCCCUUUCCGGCGGGGUGGGCGGGGCGCAGUGGGGAGCCGUUGGGGCGGGUUACUGGCCGUGUGGGGCCCGUUCCGGCCCCGCGGGACCCCGCCGCCCCGGGUGGCGAUAGCGGAUGGGACCCGGCCUUCGGGCUGGUCCCCCGGGAGUUUUGCGUGGCGCCCCUGCUGGCGGGUCUCUGCCGAGCAGCCGCACGCCUCGGGCUCCGGCUGGGGCCGCCGGAUCGGGCCUGUGCCGGGCCGUGGGUGUCGGCGGCCGCGGCUCCGCACCUCGGCUGUGCGGCUGCUGGGUUUGGAGUGGUCUUGGGAUGCUUUUUUAAUUGCUUUGUUUGUAUUUUGUUUCGGGUAGCGAGGUGGGAAUAAAGCUGUUUCCAGACGUUGGCAAGCCACCCAUUUAUACAAAUAUAUUUGGUCCUUCGUAAUUACAAUUUAAUCCUGACCCUUUUUCCCUGGCUUUCAGCCUGCUUCAGCACUGUGAGGACCUUCAUUCUCUUCCUUUCGCAGGUCUUCAGAACCAAAGAUCCUGUCAGAAGCCUUUCGGAAACCCAAGUAGAUGACAUAACAUCCAAGCGAGCUACAUUAUCCAGGUCUUUGUGCUCAGCGGCACAUGCAAAACAUCUGAAUAGAAUUCUUACUUGCUUAGAAGUUGUCAGAGCUGCUGUUCUGAGCCCCGGUACGAAACUUGAAGCAGCCGCUGACACAUCACAGUAAACCCCGUAGCGUGGUUCUCAUUUAACUUUCUGUCCCUAGAAACUUGUUCUUGCUGAUUUGGUUGAUGUAUAGCUAAUUUCUACUGAGAUACGCUCCAUUAAAAAUGGUUGAAGCAUGGAAAUAAAAAAAUCAAAUAUCCCAUAUCCUAUUGAUUGCUAAUGUGAACAAUAAAUUCUGUUUUUCUGUGGUAUUUCGUGAGUACUGCAGAAGUGUGACACGAACAUUUUCCAUUAUAUCCAUCAUUACACUGAAGGAAUUUGCAUUGAGGACCUCUUUUUCUGUGCAGAGACAUUCAACAAUUUUCUUCAUUACUUAAAGCACUGGAGCAUCCAUUCGUCCUUCUGUCUGUUUUUCUUCCCCAGACUCAAACAUGUUGGCUUCCACAUUGUGUUGGAUCUUCAAACAGCAUUGGUGGCAUUACCUCAGUUAGGUAGAGAUCCACUGAAUGCAAGUUGUACAAAGCUAAUGGUGAUCAAAAGUGCUGUGGCUUGGCAAUAAAGAGUACUAAUACAG